rnacentral:rRNA from 1 species
GACGAACGCUGGCGGCGUGCUUAACACAUGCAAGUCGAACGAUUUAGUCGUCGGUCAUCAGACGUCAGACGUCAGGGGAACGAAUGGAACUGAAGAAAGAACUCGCUUUAGCGAAAUCUAUUCCGAAACCCUUACGACCGAUGUCCGAUGACUGACGACCGAAUAGUGGCGGACGGGUGAGUAACGCGUGGGCAACCUACCCAUAAGAGGGGGAUAACAGCUGGAAACGGCUGCUAAUACCGCAUAAGCUUUUUAGGACACAUGUUUUAGAAAGUAAAGGAGGCUUUAGCUUCCGCUUAUGGAUGGGCCCGCGUCUGAUUAGCUAGUUGGUAGGGUAACGGCCUACCAAGGCAACGAUCAGUAGCCGGCCUGAGAGGGUGGACGGCCACACUGGGACUGAGACACGGCCCAGACUCCUACGGGAGGCAGCAGUGGGGAAUAUUGCGCAAUGGGGGAAACCCUGACGCAGCGACGCCGCGUGAGCGAAGAAGGCCUCGGUUGUAAGCUCUGUGUAGGACG